rnacentral:rRNA from 1 species
UAUUGGUAGAGGAGCAAUCUUAACGGGAAGAAGCAGUACUGUAAGGUGCUGUGGACUGUUAAGAAGAGAGAAUGCCGGAAUGAGUAGCGAGAUGGAGGUGGGAAUCCUCCAGGCCGAAUAUCCAAGGUUUCCAGGGUAAAGCUGAUCUGCCCUGGGGAAGUCGGGGCCUAAGGCGAGGUCGAAAGACGUAGCUGAUGGACAACAGGUUGAUAUUCCUGUACUAUCAUAUGACAGAACUGUGGGGACGCAGAAAGAGAGCCUGAGCCGGGAAAGGGAAAACCGGUGCAAGCGGGGUAGGAGUCGUGCAGGCAAAUCCGCACGGCAAUCCGAAGACGUGAUGCGGAGCGAAUUAAAGUAGCGAAGCAGGUGAGCUGGCUGCCAAGAAAAGCCGCUAUUGUUCAUAUGAUACCCGUACCGUAAACCGACACAGGUGGAUGAGGAGAGAAUCCUAAGGCCGGCGGGAGAAGCAUUGUUAAGGAACUCGGCAAAAUGACCCCGUAACUUCGGGAGAAGGGGUGCCUGCGAGAGCAGGCCGCAGAGAAUAGGCUCAAGCAACUGUUUAGCAAAAACACAGGUCUAUGCGAAACCGAAAGGUGAGGUAUAUGGGCUGACGCCUGCCCGGUGCUGGAAGGUUAAGAGGAGAUGUCAGGAAACGAAGCAUUGAAUUUAAGCCCCAGUAAACGGCGGCCGUAACUAUAACGGUCCUAAGGUAGCGAAAUUCCUUGUCGGGUAAGUUCCGACCCGCACGAAAGGCGUAAUGAUUUGAGCGCUGUCUCGACAAUGCACCCGGUGAAAUUGAAGUACCAGUGAAGAUGCUGGUUACCUGCGCCAGGACGGAAAGACCCCAUGGAGCUUUACUCCAGCUUGAUACUGGGAUCCGAUGCUGUAUGUACAGGAUAGGUGGGAGGCUGAGAAGCGGUGACGCCAGUUGCCGCAGAGCCGAUGUUGGGAUACCACCCUUGCAGUAUUGGAUUUCUAACCAGCUGCCGUGACCCGGCAGUGGGACAAUGUCUGGCGGGGAGUUUGACUGGGGCGGUCGCCUCCGAAAGGGUAUCGGAGGCGCUCAAAGGUUCCCUCAGGAUGGUUGGAAACCAUCCGAAGAGUGCAAAGGCAGAAGGGAGCUUGACUGCGACACCGACGGGUGGAGCAGGUACGAAAGUAGGACUUAGUGAUCCGGUGGUAUUAAGUGGGAAUGCCAUCGCUCAACGGAUAAAAGCUACCCUGGGGAUAACAGGCUUAUCACUCCCAAGAGUUCACAUCGACGGAGUGGUUUGGCACCUCGAUGUCGGCUCAUCGCAUCCUGGGGCUGUAGCAGGUCCCAAGGGUUGGGCUGUUCGCCCAUUAAAGCGGUACGCGAGCUGGGUUCAGAACGUCGUGAGACAGUUCGGUCCCUAUCCGGCGCAGGCGGAGGAUAAUUGAGAGGAGCUGCCCUUAGUACGAGAGGACCGGGGUGGACGGACCGCUGGUGUAUCUGUUGGCUACCAAAGCCAUGGCAGAGUAGCCAAGUCCGGCAGGGAUAAACGCUGAAGGCAUCUAAGCGUGAAGCCCCCCUCAAGAUGAGUUAU